rnacentral:rRNA from 1 species
UACGGAGGGUGCGAGCGUUGUCCGGAAUCACUGGGCGUAAAGGGCGCGUAGGCGGUCUGCUAAGCGUGCGGUGAAAGCCUGGGGCUCAACCCCAGGUCUGCCGUGCGAACUGGUGGACUUGAGCACUGUAGAGGCAGGUGGAAUUUCGGGUGUAGCGGUGGAAUGCGUAGAGAUCCGAAAGAACACCGGUGGCGAAGGCGGCCUGCUGGGCAGUAGCUGACGCUGAGGCGCGACAGCGUGGGGAGCAAAC